CAGUCGCCACGGUAAUACGAGGGGUGCAAGCGUUAAUCGGAAUUACUGGGCGUAAAGCGUACGUAGGCGGUUUGUUAAGUCUGUUGUGAAAUCCCCGGGCUCAACCUCCAGCCUGCAGUGGGUACGGGCAAACUAGAGUGCGGUAGGGGAGAUUGGAAUUCCUGGUGUAGCGGUGGAAUGCGCAGAUAUCAGGAGGAACACCGAUGGCGAAGGCAGAUCUCUGGGCCGUAACUGACGCUGAGGAGCGAAAGCAUGGGGAGCGAACAGGAUUAGAUACCCCUGUAGUCCCUGUCUCUUAUAC
rnacentral:rRNA from 1 species